CUACGACUCGAUCUAACUUGUAACACCGUAUAUCGGUGCUACACUUAACUCGAGGGUUCCAUAACCCUCUACGACACUCUAACACAACACUCUAACCUGGGCCCUGGUGACUUCUUGUUCCUCCUCUCUAUCGGCAAUAUCCUAUCUCCCUACCACAAAGGCCAGAAGAAGGAACUUUCAACCGACCGCGGCCCACAGUCCUUCGGGUCACCGCGCGACAGCCCACAGUCAUUCGGGUCACUGCCACAUUACACCGUCGUGUAAUACUCAGCCAUAGUACAUGACACCAUUCGUCUGAGUCUUCCCGAUCCAGCGAAUAAGGGGUUUCCUUGAACCCGCUGGGUACGAGGCCGGGAAACACUAAUCACCCCUACACAAGCCUAGUAUGGGCGGGUUACGCACAUACUGUCGGCACACUCACAACACAAACUCAAUCUAGAACCUAACGUAACGAUAAAGUUCCAGAUCCUAACUAGACACUCUACUCUACAACACAAACCAAUAGUACCAGUAGUCCGGCCUAUA
rnacentral:lncRNA from 1 species